rnacentral:rRNA from 1 species
GACGAACGCUGGCGGCGUGCUUAACACAUGCAAGUCGAACGGAAAGGCCCUGCUUUUGUGGGGUGCGCGAGUGGCGAACGGGUGAGUAACACGUGAGUAACCUGCCCUUGACUUUGGGAUAACUUCAGGAAACUGGGGCUAAUACCGGAUAGGAGCUCCUGCUGCAGGGUGGGGGUUGGAAAGUUUCGGCGGUUGGGGAUGGACUCGCGGCUUAUCAGCUUGUUGGUGGGGUAGUGGCUUACCAAGGCUUUGACGGGUAGCCGGCCUGAGAGGGUGACCGGCCACAUUGGGACUGAGAUACGGCCCAGACUCCUACGGGAGGCAGCAGUGGGGAAUAUUGCACAAUGGGCGGAAGCCUGAUGCAGCAACGCCGCGUGCGGGAUGACGGCCUUCGGGUUGUAAACCGCUUUCGCCUGUGACGAAGCGUGAGUGACGGUAAUGGGUAAAGAAGCACCGGCUAACUACGUG